GUGGACCUCACUAUAUAUAGUUAACCUAGAAUAAAUUCAUCAACAGUCGUCAGUCUUGUUUGAAACAGAUAACAGAGUUUCGAAAAUUUGCAUAAUAUGUACAUGACUAUUAUUUUAUAAACCACUAUAAUUUUAAUUCGUGUUUUUACUGUUGGUUAUGGUAUUAGUUAUAAAAUGAAGUAGCAAUAAUGUAGCAUACCUAAUAAAAAAAUCUUUAUUAUAACAAGAAAGAAACUGACUUAUAUGUUGAUAACAAUAGCAUUAGGCUACUACUGCCUAUAUCGUACCUAUAUUUUGAGUUUUCUGUGGAGAACGAAUGGCUCAAGUUAAUGAAGCUAAUGAAAUAUCAAAAACCUACCAAAAAUAAAAAUGCCAUUUAUGUCUGCCUGUCACCACAUAGAAAGCUUUCCGAAAGACACAACUCCUUGUUUCAAGAAGUUUUAUCGAUCAUCUGCAUUUCUUCACGUGAAUAACAAACGAAGGCACGCUACACUACUGCAAAUAAGUAUUUUACAGAUAUCAAAGAAAGCGGUGAAAAGAAUGAAGUUUUUGAUCCUUGAGGUGUCCUUAUGCGCGUCUCUCCUCUAGGAAAUACUGGAAUGAAGUGCAUCUAACGGGUGAACCUAUUGUACUGCAUCAUAAAAGCGGAAGAAGGAGGUGAAAUCAACUUGCCGACUGUUUAGCUGUGGUAAAAGCUAUCAAAUCCAUGAAUCCAGGAACCUAUUCAAUUCUCAAGAACAUCUCUGUCAUAAUGUGGUCGGACCCGUUCACCAAGGAAGGUCGCAGUAAUCAAAGCAUUCAUUUUACUCCUAUUAUCAAGACAAAUUCUGACAUUUUACAACAUUUUACAGGCACAUAGAAGACUGGCUUAUGAUGGCGAAAGACUUUUGAAGGCGGUUACCUUGAUUGGGAUCAUAUCUAUUAAACCUUCGAAUCCUGCACUCAAAAGUAAAUGUGAUACCAUUCAAAUGGAAUAAGAUUGAUUUGAAUUGGAAUUUGUUAUUCCUGUAUCAUAGUGCAUUUUUCUACUAGUUACCCUACGUAUUGUACAUUAUUGUAAUAAAGCACUAGCUGUUCCAUAGUAGAAGUCUUUGAAAUAAAAGGUUUCUUUUUCAAGUUA